rnacentral:tRNA from 1 species
UCCCUGGUGGCUCAGACCUUAAAGCGUCUGCCUUCAAUGCUGGAGACCCGGGUUUGAUCCCUGGCUUGGGAA